rnacentral:rRNA from 1 species
GCCACCCUACGGGAGGCAGCAGUAGGGAAUCUUCCACAAUGGGGGAAACCCUGAUGCAGCAACGCCGCGUGAGUGAAGAAGGUUUUCGGAUUGUAAAGCUCUGUUAGCAGGGAAGAGGAAGGACGGUACCUGCAGAGGAAGCCACGGCUAACUACGUGCCAGCAGCCGCGGUAAUACGUAGGUGGCAAGCGUUGUUCGGAAUAACUGGGCGUAAAGGAUGCGUAGGCGGUU